CUCUUGCAGUCUUGCUCCUUCCCACUUGACGAACACACCAGAUCUGAGCUUCUCCCCCUAUAAAUUGACAUUAUCAACGUCCUUUUGUUUUCAACUCGGCUAUCACUUCCCCAUCUCCAUUUUCUCCGACCUCUUGUUUCCUGUCGCCAAAGAACCCUUCUCCUGCUCUGUGCAAGUUCUGUUGUGAAGUGUGAAGGAUAUGGCCGGCUAUCGACCUCCUUUGCAGAUAGAGUAUACUCGCUCCUUUCGUUGGGUUGUGCUUCACUGCUUCGCGUAUUCCGUAAAGUAUUACAUGAUUUAUGUGUCGUGGAUUUUGAAUACAGUUCCAGCUUGAGUGAGGCUCGCAGUGCGCUAAAUCGCGUUUUGUUACAUGAGGUCCCCUGUUCUGAGUACAUGAGGUUCCCUGAAAAACAUAUCUACGUCUGUGUCGACAAACAGCCGUUGUUUGCGCAUGUGGCCGAAGUGAUGCGGGUGCUUGCGACCCCUCACAACAUGUUAACUGCGGCAGCCAUUAAAGACUAUUUUUCUGCGAUAGCUCGCAUGCGUGAGGUGAUGCAUUGCCAAGUGGACGGUGAUCGUGUAGUCUUCUCAAGAGAAACUUUUGAGCGUGAGUUUGAGUUGAAAUGGGGGGAUUGAUUAUAGAUGUCUAGUGUUGUUGGCGAUGGUCUACUAUGUUGUUAUCUUAUCUUUAACAAGUUUACCCUUACUUCUUUUAUGUUGCGUAUUCAUAGCCAUCUAUGUCUUUCCUUU